ACUUGUAACAGGAAAAAUAAAGGAGAAACACAGCUGAAACCACCCAGUGUGUCUUGAGAUACCAGCUGCUUUAGUACAUGAUACUACUUCCCCUAACAGCUUUUGUCUCCAGCUGAAUGAGAACACACACUGUGUCCUGAUGAUCUGCAGGGCUUGCCAAGAGUGAUGCUGUUUUUUAGUGGAAAACUUCUACCAAUGCCUGCCCCAUAUUCAGCACAGUAUUCAGCAGUUAUUCACAUAUAUGAAUCCAACAGCUUCAGGCGGGAUGAGAAAAAAAUUUGCAAUGGGAGGCCAAAACAAAAAUACACUGGCAACAUUUAUUUGUCAGAUAAAAGGAAGCAAGGUGGGAGACCAGAUAAGAGGCAGAAGGAGAAUAAAAGAAGACAAAGGAACAUGGUGGUAGGUAUUGUAAAAAUAGUUGAGCCUGGAAACUCUAAUACCCAGAAACUGUAUGUUUCUGAUAAAGCAGAUGAGGCUCCAGAAGAGAAGCAAAAAGUUAAUAUGUGACUGGGUUGAAGAGAAAACAGAAAUAUGCAGAACUGAGAGUUCCACCAAAAAUCAAGUUCAUCUUAAAAAAUUGCAAGCCAGAAUAUCUCAGGAAAAUGAAUGAGAAGCAUAGGCAUCCAAUGAUCAGGUGAAAACCAGGAAAGCAGUAAUAGCAGUGUGUACUUUGGAGAUAUUGUGGACAUCUCACUAGCCAUGAAUUUGCAGCGUAAUAUGAUAGAGGGGGAACAUGAAAUCCAAGUAGCAAACUCUGGCACACUUAGCUAAUCACAAAGUAGAAAGAAAACAGUUCCCUAUCAACAAUCUACAUGGCUCUGCUACAGUUGUCUCUGGAUUAUUUCAUUGAUUAAGGGUAAUUUAUUACCAAAAUAAUAUAUGCUCUGAAUGGGGAAAUGGGGAAAAGAAAAAAAAAGAAAUAUACUCUACAUUACUGGAUUAAUUUGGGCUGCUUUAUGGAACAGAGUGGGACAGACUUAGGAGAAAAGAUUAAAUAGAUACAGUAAGUUUUGGGGGAACUAAAGCAAACAGGUACAAACUGGCACAAACACUAGGAGCACAAAAUGUCCUUGUAAGAUGACAGGAGCAGAAUCCACAUAUCUAAAUGUAUUUUUAGAAAAUACCCUGAAUUCUGUACAGACAGCAACACAGUUCUGCUCAUAGACCUCAAUCUGGUUCUUAUUUCAGCUCCACUAAAAACAUUAAACUCUCCAUGAUCUCUCUUGGCAAGCAGUUCUUCCCCACCAUCAGUAAUUUGGAGAUAUCAAGAAAAACCCAAGAUACUUUUCCAAGGAAAGGAGGAGGUUUAGGGUGGAGAAGAACCACAGAAACAAAUAAAUAUAAAGAGCUCAGUAUUUAUACUCA
rnacentral:lncRNA from 1 species